rnacentral:snoRNA from 1 species
CAGGCCCUGACUGAAGGCCAGCAAUUAUAUUAUAGCUGUUGGUUUCAAGUAGAAGCCCAAAGACGACUUCCUGUAGUCUGUUGGCAGUCCUAGAAUCUCAGCAGAGAAUGUCCAUUUCAUUUGAAGAGACACCA